CCAAGACUACCAAAUACUUCAUUUGUAUGCAAGGUGUAGGGUAAAUAAAACUAGGUAACAUGUUAGGUCCCAUCAAUUUAACCUAACAGUGCCACGGUGAUUAGCAGAACCAUAAAUAUUAUUAGGUCAAAGAAUGUGAUCAAGGACACAACUUGCCUUUUUACUUGCGAAUCCAACUAUUUAGGUGUUUCCCCAAAGUUGGGCUUCAUCUUCCUCAUCACCUCGCUUCUACUUGUAGCAAUACAUACAAAUAAGCAAAUAAUGGAUACAAAUAACAUUACACCAAACAUGGAAUCAAACUGAAUAAGAAUAUUCUAUGCGUCGAGAUGAAACUGUAGGUUCAAGAACCACUAAAAGCGUAGUUGAAACAGAGAAGUUAUGAUUUUUCUAAGUUUUUAGGUUAAUUUUUAUACUAAAAACUCAAUUUCAGUUUUAAUUUACUUAUUUCUGGAAAUUCCUUGAUUGUGGAUACCAUUUUUAUAAAGUGCAGGGGCUAUUCUAUGAAAAUUUAAACCUAACCGUAAUUACUUUUGACUAAAAGCGGAUGGCGGGUUAGUUUCAUGCUUCGUCGGAGGCUCUUUAGCAAAAUAACCACGAUGAAGUGGUAUGAUCUAUUCUAGGCCGAUGGAUCUGAUAUCUACGGCUAUGAUUAGAUCUACAUCAAAACGAAGCGGUAUGCAACAGAGUCCGUCAUUAGAGAUCAAUGGCCCAAAACAGUUCGUGAACCAGUAUGCGCUCUGGUCCACCAGAUCCUGAUCUAACGGCACCGAUUCAACGAGCGAAGGGGUACGUGAUGUUAUGAUCUCGAUCGUUCGUUACAAGAUCAAUGGUUGGCGCCUUUCUUCUCAACUCCGACCACCCAGGCGGUGGUACAAGUGGUUCGCACGGCUGCGCUCACGCUGGAGUCAGGCGAUCCGAUCCCCUGGUGAUCCAAAUCGUGUUCCACAUGGUACGCGAAGUGCAGGUCAAGGCGAAUCAAUUAGGCCCUGUUCGUUUGUAUCGGAUUACACCCGGAAUCGUUCCGUCUAAACAAAGUUUAUAUAAAUUAGAGAAGCAAUCCGGUUAGGAAUUAUUCCGACCCAUCAAUCCGAUGGAAACGAACAAGGCCUUAAGAAGAUCCUUACCGAGUAUGACGGCACGAGGAAUCGUGUUGACGCGAUGAUGUGGCUCGACGGUGAAAGAUCUUCGAUGAGCAAUUGGAGCAACUCUGUGGCUCCCCCAUGCUUGUCGAUGCUUCGGCCAACAUGCACCCGAUCUAGCGCACACCCUGAAUAGUUCUCCGAGGAACAGGCGACGAUGUGUCGCAGGCCCGAUGACGGCAGCCAUGGCGGCCUGCGACGGCAACUCUCCCGAUCUCUCUCUCUACUUUG
rnacentral:lncRNA from 1 species